GACGAACGCUGGCGGCGUGCUUAACACAUGCAAGUCGAACGGAAAGGCCCUGCUUUUGUGGGGUGCUCGAGUGGCGAACGGGUGAGUAACACGUGAGUAACCUGCCCUUGACUUUGGGAUAACUUCAGGAAACUGGGGCUAAUACCGGAUAGGAGCUCCUGCUGCAUGGUGGGGGUUGGAAAGUUUCGGCGGUUGGGGAUGGACUCGCGGCUUAUCAGCUUGUUGGUGGGGUAGUGGCUUACCAAGGCUUUGACGGGUAGCCGGCCUGGGAGGGUGACCGGCCACAUCGGGACUGAGAUACGGCCCAGACUCCUACGGGAGGCAGCAGUGGGGAAUAUUGCACAAUGGGCGGAAGCCUGAUGCAGCAACGCCGCGUGCGGGAUGACGGCCUUCGGGUUGUAAACCGCUUUCGCCUGUGACGAAGCGUGAGUGACGGUAAUGGGUAAAGAAGCACCGGCUAACUACGUG
rnacentral:rRNA from 1 species